CAAAUGAUGGCCAAGUCAU
rnacentral:misc_RNA from 1 species